AUUGUUUCUGUAUUCACUGAAUUUUGUCCGGCUCGAUUUCGUUUUAAAAAAAAAUCCAAAAAAAUACAAAAAUUAAAAAAAUUACACAUUGACCCCUAAACUCUCAAUAAAUUACAUUUUGGCCCAUAUUUUUACUAAAAUUACACUUUUGCCCUAGAAGCUUUGCAUCCUAUGCAAUUUAGUCCUUCUGGACUUGUCUAAUCGCCCUGCAGCAGCCGAGCGUACCUCUCCCAGCCGAGCUACUCCAGCAGCCCCCCUAGGCCAUCAUGGCUCCUCUGCCACCUGCAAACAAUGAGAAAGAGGACAAAAUUUGGAGCUUUUAAAAAGAAAAAUUGAAGAGAAGGGAGGGGGAUUUUUCGGCAACCAAAAGCAAAAAAAAUAGCAGAAAAUUCCAGCAGCAAAAAAAUACUCCCAUGGGCCGAUCCCACGCUCACCGCCACAGUACACACGCCACCACGAUCGCCGUGCAACGAUCAUCGUUGCUCCUCGCCGAAGUCAAGCUAAGAAAUGUGCAAGCAUAAACAAAAGAAAGGAAAAUAGCAGCAAGCAAGCAAAAAAAAAAGUAAAGUAGAAAGAAGUGAAGAAAGAAGAAGAAGAGAGGAGGGAAAGGAGAACGCCGGCGACCGUCCAACCACCGCAACCAGGAGACACCGACGGCGGUGAAAAAGAAGGGCCAAGGCUUUGAGACAAGAAGAAGAGAAGAAGAAAAAAGAAAAAAAUAGAGGAAGAAAAAGAGAGAAAAAAGAAAGAAAAAAAGAAAAAAAAAUAAAUAAAAAACAGCAGGCUAGUUUUGGUGGACCAGCAGCAGCCCACCAGCAGUGGCCCACCCGUGCAGCUCCAGUUCAUCAGCAGGCCCAGCGCAAUAGUCCAACAGAUUCAGCCCAUUUCCUGGCAGCCCGCAAGUAGCAGCCCAACAAAAAAAAGAAGCAAAGAGAAGAG
rnacentral:lncRNA from 1 species